rnacentral:rRNA from 1 species
UACGAAGGGGGCUAGCGUUGCUCGGAAUCACUGGGCGUAAAGGGUGCGUAGGCGGGUCUUUAAGUCAGGGGUGAAAUCUGGAGCUCAACUCCAGAACUGCCUUUGAUACUGGCGAUCUCGAAGUCCGGGAGAGGUGAGUGGAACUGCGAGUGUAGAGGUGAAAUUCGUAGAUAUUCGCAAAGAACACCAGUGGCGAAGGCGGGUCACUGGCCAGUCUCGUGACGCUGAGGUGCGAAAGCGUGGGGAGCAAACAGGAUUAGAAACCCGGUGAGCAGUACCG